CUAAAAAAGUUUGUUUUGCUUAUUAAUAAAGACAAUUAAAUGGCCGCGGUAACACUAACUGUGAAAAUGUAGCGUAAUCAAUUGUUAAUUAAUUGUUGACCGGUAUGAAUGGUGUCACGAAAGUUUCUCUGUCUUAAAAAAAUACUUAAUGAAAUUGAAUUUGUAGUGAAGAUGCUACAUUAAAAUUGUAAGACGAGAAGUCCCCAUGGAACUUUACUGAGGGCUUAGGGUUUUCUAUAAGCGGGACAGUUUUGUUGGGGCGACAGUUUUUUAAAAAGUAACAAAAACGAACUAUGGCGUAGCUUCACCCUGAAAAACUUUUUAAGGGACAUUUUUGGUGUGUUUUAUGAACCGUUGUUUGGAAUGAAAAAAAUAACGAAAAACAAAUAAAAGUUACCCUGGGGAUAACAGCGCAAUAACGUUUGAGAG
rnacentral:rRNA from 1 species